rnacentral:rRNA from 1 species
UAAUACGAAGGGGGCUAGCGUUGUUCGGAAUUACUGGGCGUAAAGCGCACGCAGGCGGUUUGUUAAGUCAGAUGUGAAAUCCCCGGGCUCAACCUGGGAACUGCAUUUGAAACUGGCAAGCUAGAGUCUCGUAGAGGGGGGUAGAAUUCCAGGUGUAGCGGUGAAAUGCGUAGAGAUCUGGAGGAAUACCGGUGGCGAAGGCGGCCCCCUGGACGAAGACUGACGCUCAGGUGCGAAAGCGUGGGGAGCAAACAGGAUUAGAUACCCUGGUAGUCCACGCUGUAAACGAUGUCGAUUUGGAGGUUGUGCCCUUGAGGCGUGGCUUCCGGAGCUAACGCGUUAAAAUCGACCGCCUGGGGAGUACGGCCGCAAGGUUA